rnacentral:rRNA from 1 species
CCUACGGGAGGCAGCAGUGGGGAAUAUUGGACAAUGGGCGAAAGCCUGAUCCAGCAAUGCCGCGUGAGUGAUGAAGGCCUUCGGGUCGUAAAGCUCUUUUACCAGGGAUGAUAAUGACAGUACCUGGAGAAUAAGCUCCGGCUAACUCCGUGCCAGCAGCCGCGGUAAUACGGAGGGAGCUAGCGCUGUUCGGAAUUACUGGGCGUAAAGAGUACGUAGGCGGUUAUUCAAGUCAGAGGUGAAAGCCCGGGGCUCAACCCCGGAACUGCCUUUGAAACUAGAUAACUAGAGUCUUGGAGAGGUUAGUGGAAUUCCGAGUGUAGAGGUGAAAUUCGUAGAUAUUCGGAAGAACACCAGUGGCGAAGGCGACUAACUGGACAAGUACUGACGCUGAGGUACGAAAGCGUGGGGAGCAAACAGGAUUAGAUACCCUGGUAGUCCACGCCGUAAACGAUGAUAACUAGUUGUUCGGUCACUUGGUGACUGAGUGACGCAGCUAACGCAUUAAGUUAUCCGCCUGGGGAGUACGGUCGCAAGNUUAAAACUCAAAGGAAUUGACGGCUGNGAGNGCGAGCGACGACGAGGAGAG